UACACCUAUUAGGUUAGGUGGAAUGAUUACAUGGAUUCUGCACAACUAGGUCAAGAAUGUAGAGUUUGCAAAUGAGUAUAUCAAAGAGACUCCCUCCUGUACUUAUGAAGGUAUUGAGUUGAGGUUUCACUGUUCCUCAAGUCUUUCUUCCCCCUGCCCAUGCUCCUGUUUCUUAUAUAUGACAUUAAGGAAGAAUCAUGGCAACACAUCUAAAACCUUCAAGUCUGGCCAUGGGAACACAGGAAGUAGAUAGUGUAGUACAGAUAUCAAAUGUGAAUAGAGAAAAGAAUUGUAUACUCCAUGUGGUCCUUUGCUUUAUUGAUGAUGGUAAUUUUUGAAUAACAUAAGGAUUUGGGAAUUUAUAAUUGAAGUAGGUACACCAUAUUUACACUGUUAUUCUCAGUCUAUAGAUGGGCCCACUUUGUUUCCAAAAUCAUAGCAGAGAAUGGAAUUUGAAAACAGAAUUUUUGAGUACAUAUUCAGGAAUAUUUAUAAUGUCCCCUAUGAAGGAAUGUACAAUAGGAAAGUGAAAUACAAUAUUCAUUCAACGAAAGGUGUGUAGGUAAAGUACUGGCCUUUAUAAAAUUAAGAAAACCUAGAAAAUUGAACUGUAUGUCACAGGAAUUGACCUGGGAAUAAAAAUAUUAUCCAGAAGAAUCUCCUCCACUCCAAGUUCCUAAAUAAUUUCUAUCCAUGCCAUACCCCUGACUCAUUUUCUCCAUUCAGAAGUCACUAGCUUUAGAGAGAUGGAGAACGAAAGUUUCCACUGUGUCACAGGAGACAUACCUAAAUUGGCACCCUCAAAACUGGUUAAUGUAAGGAAAGCUGUUUAGAGUCAGGCCAUGGCAGUUCUCAGUGACAAUAUCAUUAGGCUCUCCCUGAAAAAUCUCUUGUAUCCUUGAGAGCACUAGCUUCUUCUGUGAUGUAAUAAGUGUUGUCCUGACUGCAAAUGCCUCUCAGAUAUUACUUCAGUACCUAUAGGUUUUACUAAUUGGCCUCAAAUUCAGGGGAAACAGUCAUUAGGGAGGGAGAACAAAGACGAUGAAGAAAUCAGAGAUGGGGAGAACGAAGCUGGUCUUCUGUCUUGGUAUAAAAGAAGGAAGAAAUACAUCAUCCCUGAGAAAUCUCACUGAAGCCUUGGUAGGAGUGGAAUAUGAAAAAUAGUCCUGAGGAAGGAGGGACAACAAGUAUUGUAUCGUCAUGGCAUCUCAAGAAAAACUCUCAAAACUCAUCCUGGCUGACAAUGUAGAUUAGACGCAUCAGAUGAAAUGAAUUGAAAAACUCUCCUGGGAAUGAAAGUGGUAAGGAAAUCACAUUGAUGUAUCCUAAAUGCAGUGCUAAGAGCAAUAUUCAGACUAGUCUGUGGAGAUGCUGCUGUCAUCAGAGACCACAGACAAUUAGUGGAGAAUGAUUCAGCAUUAAACUGGGAAUGGAAGAUGAUGGUUGAUAUUGUUCUAGUAGAUCUCACUACAUUAAAAAGUGUUUCUUCCAGAUAACUGAAUGAUUAUUGUAAAGCAAAUCCCGGAAUGAACUUAUGAGACCCACCAUCAGCCUGUCAAAUAAUGUGCGAAAGAAGAAAUCUGUGUCUCUCCAGGGACAAAUUGUUGCUUUCAAACCAACAGUAAAGUGUCCAUUCUAUGAA